AACGGAUCACUUUGGAGGGAGGAUAAAGAGGGUGGAUGACACUGCAAUGUAUCUGGCAAAGGGACAUAUCUCUCGCAAUGCCGCUUUACAUUCACACGUCACCCGAUUCCAAAACGUGUGUGUUCGGUCGGUUUUGGAGGCUUUCGAGUGGCGCAGCGGUCUAAGGCACUGCAACUCAAUGCUAGAAGUUUCACUACAGACUUUGGUUCGAUCCCGAGCUGUCUCACAAAAGGCCGUGAUCGGGAGUCCCAAGGGGUGGUGCACAAUUGGCUCAGCGUCGUCCGGGUUAGGGAGGGUUUGUCCGGAAUAGGCCAUCAUUGUAAAAUAAUAAUUUGUUCUUAACUGACAUGCAUAGGUAAAUAAAGGUUAAAUAUCUUCAGUGCCCAUUUAAGUAAACAGAGAGUGCUAAUCCCGAUGCCAUAUACUGUGAUCAUUGGCCAGCUAGCUUUGAGCCACUGGCAGAGCAAGAGAAGCGUUUGCCGCUGCAGUGUGACUGUGAGAUACAGAGAGGUCUUUGCGGGUAGCGGAUGGAUCACUCAACACCUGAGUCACCCCUUACUAUUUUAUUGAGAGAUAAGGCUGGGGCUAUUGUGUGCAGAGGCCCUCAUCAUCACCCCACAUCCCGAGCUAUAGUCUACAACCACUCACUCACACAUUCAGACAAUAGCCUACAUGCUGGCGGACCAAUGGAAAUCAAAUGUCUUAUAGUUAGUUACCUGUCCGAAUGCUGAGUUAAAGGUGUGCGCCCCGGUAGCCGGGAGGUGUGUGUGUGUGUCAGUCAGUCAGUCAGUGCUGAGCUGAGAGGGCAUAGUGCAUGCGGGAGCUCAUUGAACUGAAUAUUUACCCCCUUGGUCAGUGCAGGGACCCUCCAUUCAUCCUGCAGCUCUUAUGCAUUCCCUACGGCUAGUUGAGUAAUGCUGGAAAUUAUAGGUUCGCACAGAGGUCAUACUCAAUUCCCAGUAUGGGGAGGGGGAAGGAUCAGGUGGUAAUAUGGCAACUAGCCUACUUUUAUGAGAUGAGGGCCAACGACAAUAGUAAUCUUUGAAAUAAAUGCAUAUUCUCUUGCAAUCCAUAAUAGGUCCACAACUUAAAUUAUGAACGUAUUGUGGCGCACUACAUGAUAUCGUUUAGCCUUCCCGGGAAUUGCCUAAACCUUGACCGGAAGAGCAGCCCUUCUCUCCGCACCGUUUGGCGCUUGAUUUCCGUCAACACUGAGCAGCGGGCGUGGAAAUGUUCCUCCACCAUAACUAUUAAUCACGCCAAGCGGACAUGGAGAGCAUCCCCCUCCCACAUCACAGCACCCUUUGUCUUCUCAAACUACAACUUGAGCCGUUUAAACUUUUUAAACCUGAACAGGAGGGAACAAUCUCUUAUCAGUUUACAUUUCAGACCACUUUAUGGAUGAUUGGGAGUGAGGAGGCUAUGCAUUUAUUAUUUAUGUUGGAUUAGAAUUAAGGGGGAAUCAGAUUUGAUUCGCAUUAAUUCAUGUUCUAGUUUUUGUGAAGAGUUCGGCCAGAUUUGCAUACCACUCCACCAGCACGGAGAGCACGUGCAUUGCAACACCGGAGAGCAUCUGGGGCUGAGCUGACUGUGGACGGAAAACAGACCCUUUCUCCCACGCCACCUUUCGCCACCGCACCUGAACUUUUCCCUGACCCAAACCGAGGCGCGGAGAGUCGAGUGUGAAGUUAUUUUGGUUCAAAAACAAGGAGAGGAUGGAGACUAUAUAACCAAUAAGAGCUAUACCUUCCUUUUCAGCUGGGAACGUUUUGGAUCCUUGUUUUUAAUGGGCUCUUGUUGGUUUCAGCAGUUGAUUAACCUAUUUCUUGGUUUGUAUGUAUACAUAUAUUAAAGUUAGUAACAUAAAGCUUGUAACCUAAGUCCAACUUCCAACAUUUACCGGCCUUGAGCCGUAGACUUGAGCCGUAGACAGUCCUCUCCACACCGCUCCGUCAUUGGAUGUUCGCCAGACUGCGGUGCAUCUCCACAAUGUUGACAUUUGAAGCUCUUAACAGCGAGCCUUGGGUUACCGAUACACUCAGCAGAAGAUAACUCUUUCUCAGGGGUUUACAUCGGCCAACAUCAAGGCUAAUGCGAAAUUCAACGCCCUAAACUGGUUUGGCGUGCAUGCUAAAACAGAGAACCCUCGGUCGAUCUCGCUAUACUCUCCAUAACGGACGGACUCCUGUUGUGGUGGGGGUUUGUUUCAGUAUGUGCUGUAGAAAUAAAAUUGUAGUGGUAAUAAUGUUGAA